CAAGCGUCAGGAAGUGGAAGCAGAAGUGUGGCACAAAUACCACACCAACGGAACAGGGCAGAGCAUGGAGUCAGGCAAGAGCCCUUGCCACUAUGUGUUUGAGGAUCCCUAUUGCCCACCCCACCUGCGGCGAAAGGCUUAUGCCGAGAAACUGAAGGAGAGGCUACAGGAGAAGGAGGUGCUGGAGGAGGAGAGGUGCCAAAGUGCUGCAAGGCAGACAGCAUCGAAGGGGCAGGCAGAGCUGCACCUCUUGGGGAGAGCACGGGGAGGCAAGCAGGAGAAGAGGAGGCUCUUGGAGCGCCAGUGGGAGGCCCAGGGACUGCCAGUCAUACCGAGAAGCUGCGAGCGUCCAUGCUGUACCACAGAGGUACCAGCAACAGGGACCUUAGUCAUCACGGCAGCCACCACUGUCAGCAGGAGACCUUCUCACAGAGGGGAGUGUGCCAAAUAAAGGCUGCUGGUGCUGAUACCUCUGCCUGGCCAGAGUGACCAUGCUGCUUCCUGCAUUGCCUGACUGAAUCUCUUCGAAAAGUACUGAAAUACUUAACUUUGGGGUGACAUGAGACUACAUCUGUCAUAGGCAUCACAAGAUCUUGUGGAAGCGCUCACGAGCAUCCCACACUGCAUAACACUACAUCAGCACUGGAAGACCUGGGCUAAGUUUUUUCCACCCAAAAUGGAAUAUUUAGUUGUUUUUUCCUGAAUGUUUGCUUGCUGCAACAGAAUCCCUGUUUCCUCCAGAUGAAGAACAUUUCUGAAUAAACUACACUUUCAGUGGCUGAUCA
rnacentral:lncRNA from 14 species